GAACGCAAGAUCGCAUUACAUGAUAACUUAUUUACAAUGCUUUUUAUGUAAAGCAUAGGAACAAACUAUGUACACAACAAUAUAAGACGUAUGGGGCAUGCCUUGAUGUGUGCUGGAUGGGAUCUUUUUCCUGAGUGAUCGACGCAAUGUCAUAUGACCUGUUGAAAAAUCACCGUCACCGUCGCUUGGCAAUCAGCGAGCUCACCUUAUGAAAGGUUAUGGACGGUGAGUGACAGCUGACGACCCGAGUCUCUUCAAAGACAGACGAAUACAUCCCUUUUUCUUGAUUCUGGCUGCUUUGACGAAUUGCGUCCAGUUUGUGUUGAUAGCCACUCUUUUAUCUUAACCUUAUAUUAAACAAAGUUGUUCCUGUAAACAUCCACAUGGGGUUAUGAUUCACAUGUUCUCAACGAUUGGGUUAAGCUUGAGAAAGAUCCUAGUGUAUGGAGCAGAGAAGUACUGCAGCGAGACAACAAACUGGAGUUAUUUAUGGUGGGUAGACAAAGUACAUCAUGGCGGCAUAGGACAAUAUGUAAUUUAAUUCUCACCAUUCUUUAUCCUGUACUACAUGUGUUGUUCAUCUUACAGACAUAGACCUUAAUGGCAGGUACCCUCGAAUGAACCAGUCGCUUAAGAAGACAGAUCUCAUCUGGAGAGAUGUCAAAUUCACUUGGAUACUUGCAUUGGAGUUCCAAGUGUUCCCUGUACUGUAUGUAUGCAUGACCCUAUAUUUCCAACAUAAUGACUAUUUAAUCCCAUAUAAAUUCCAUGGUUACGUAAUGUUGUAGGAACCGAUAGUUACCUUGUGUAACGGUCCUCUUAGUCUAUAUAUUUUUUGCAUUCCUAGUUGGACCUUUGGGUUUCCUGGCACGUUUGCGGCUCUCUAAAUAAUCAGUGAUACAAAGUGUUGGUCUGUUUCAUGGAUAACCAGCAGUCAUUGAACUGAAGAUUUAGGCUAAAAUGAAACAUCACGAAUUAAGUCCAUUAGGACUCUUAUUAUUCCUCUGUAAUAAAUUAGUAAUGUAGGGCCAUUGCAGUUUCAGAGGGCUACACUAAAUUUACCUGAUCCAUCGAAGCUCUUUUUUACUCUAAUAGCAGCAUGCAAUUAUCAUACGCAUAUGUUUCAGUUUCUCAUAGGAACAUGCCCAUUAAGCAAGGAAUAGCAAUGUACAUACUAAUCUAACAUGCUUCAUCCAUGAGCAGCCAAGCAGAAUAGAGGUGAAAUCAAUACCUUCAUCAUCAUUAACCUGUAUGGGAUCAUUGAUCCUUGCUCCUUUUAUCCUGCAGCCACCAUUUGAAUUUCAUUAGUAUCUGGAUCAGUCUGAUCACCAUAUAAUUCGGUUGAUAAUUCACUUGCUAGUACAAAUAAAAUAUAAAAUUGAUCUAAAAAUUUCGACUGAUUACAGUUCAGAGCACGUGUAUUUAUCAGAUCACACAAGUGUUCAGCGCAAUACAACCUUUCCAAAUCCACACAUAGCCCAAGGGAGGGAGGGACGGGGAGAGAGAGAGAGAGAGAGAGAGAGAGAGCAAGGUAACUAUUUUGACCUCCCAAAAUUUGUAGAUGAAAGCAUAACUGAAUUUACAUUUCCUAAUGUGGACCAAAAAAAUAUGAGAAUACCAAAAGGAUUACCAGUUCUUCAAUUUUCCAGUUUUUUUAAUAGACUAUGAAAAAAUAUACAAUGAGGAACAAAGAUUUGACUGCAUGCUAUAAAAAAUGAUCCCAAUUGAUCGGUGAAGAGGUGCUAAAAGCUCCAUAUUAAAAAAACAAGAGAAUGCUUGAUCUUAAUUAAUUUGUUCGUUCACAUGGCUGAAAAGUACAGGCGUCAGAGAUAAUUUGCUUAACAACACUUAAAUAGCAAUAGUAUCUUAGCACACCACUAAAUAGUUGUUUUGGAGAAUAAUUAUUCAUGUCAAUGACCUAUUCGUGAACUAAUAUGAAACAAAGGACAUGGUAUGUAUAUAGCUACAAAAUACUCAUGGAUUUGUUCGAAAUGUUCUAUCAAGAGAACCACUGGAAAAAAUUAUCUUAUUUGAUGGGGCUCUCACCAGAAUUUUAUUACCUCAAGCUGAACGGGGCACUCCACCAGGAUUUUAUGACCAUAUCAGGAAAUUCAUGUAAGUUCCAUCUUUACACUAAUGGAAUCAAAUGCCACCACAGAAAUUUGUCUGGUAUUACCCAAUUAGUAGUACUUUACAGAAGUAAAAAGUUCAAGAAACAACGAAAAUCCAUUUUGACAACUACGUACUACAUUUUAUUCUUUGACAAAAGUAAGAGAAAUAACUUGGCAUUAAUUAUCAUAGCUUUUGGAAAAUUAAAGAUUCGAGCCAGGAUGGGCUCCUUCAUUAAUUAGUGAAGACCAAAUAAGUAGUCUAAAGAAGUACUAUACACUAAAAACCUUACUGAUGAAAGGGCAACAAAUUAAACAUGAGCUGUGGCCAGCUCCCUGCAAUACGCAAGAGAGCUCUAGCAUGGCAUGCACGUGACAAUUUGUAAGCACCUACACGUGCUGCUAUGCCAAGUUAGAAAUGCCUAAAAAAAUCAUGAGUAGCCUAGCUUUAUUUUCAGUAGAAAGUUAAAAGUAGAACAUACAGAUCAAUAAAGGUUCCUUUGUUCAAAAUGCCCUUCUUCUUUGAGUUCCUAGUAGCCUGCAUCUAAUCAUUCCACUGAAAAUGAAAGCGAGCAUUAACAGGUAAGGUUCAUAAAAGUGGCCCUCAGAUAAGUAUAAAAAAUAAAAUUGAACACUAAUGCAUUGUAUUUUAUAUUUGACACCCGAACACAUUUUGUUAUUACAAAAUGAUAUGCCAUGCACCUAGAGCUUCAGGUCAAGUAUAGAUGAAAUAGGGUUCCCCAGAGAAGGGGGAAUUGUAUGUCCAAAAAGAUAAUGUAUGAUCAAGCAACCAUAAAUUGUGAUAAUUGCAGAAGAUGGAGAACAACCAAAUUAAUCUGGUCGGCGCCGUCAUGGUCAACCCUUUCAAUGGUGCUAUUGCAGUUACUACUUCGUCAAGUUGAAUUGUAGAAGGCAAAUUAUAUUCAAAUAAACCAGGGAACAUGUGGUAUAUUUUCUAUGGUCAUUUCCCACAGUACAGCAAGGAACCAAAUGAAAAAUGUAUAUUGAUCUUACUUUUGCAAUCCACACAAAUCAUUGGCAGAGAAAAAUCACUAAAACAAACUUGUUGCUUAUUAAGGAGCAGAUCAAGCAACCAUAAAUUAUGGUAAUUGCAGAAGAUGGAGAACAACCAAAUUAAUCUGGUUGGCGCCGUCGUGGUCAACCCUUUCAAUGGUGCUAUUGCAGUUACUACUUCGUCAAGUUGAAUUGUAGAAGGAAAAUUAUAUUCAAAUAAAAAAGGGAACAUGUGGUAUAUUUUCUAUGGUCAUUUCCCAUAGUACAGUCCAGGAACCAAAUGAAAAAUGUAUAUUGAUCUUACUUUUGCAAUCCACACAAAUCAUUGGUCGAGAAAAAUCACUAAGCCAAACUUGUUGCUUAUUAAGGAGCAGCUAGAACAAAUUCUCCAGUUCAUGGCUAGAGACCAGAUCAAAAAAAGCAGAGAAGAAUCGAUUAAUGAUUCAGGACAUACCUUGUUGACCGGUGUUGUCGUGGAUCGGAAAGCUCGCGUGCCUGUUGCCGGUGUAGCGGGGAAAAGCUCCUUACACGCUCUUGGAUCCAUCACACCUUGAGAGGCAUAACUUUGCUAUGCAGAGUGGCCAACAAAGCUGCAAUAAGUUGAUGUGCACGGAUCAUGUCAGCGAGAUGCUACAACAACAGAAGCAUGAGAGAAUCGAAAGCGUGGCUCACCUUGAGGUCCUCGUUGUCUCUGCAGUCCGUGCUCACAGGAGGCAUUCAGUGUUCCUCUGCGGCAGAGUCCUAGGGUGGUGUGACUUCCUGGAGAAUGGACAUCAUAACAUAGCAUCUAUACCAGCUUCUUGAUGCCAUAUCAAACUGGCGCGAGCUUGGCUGCAAGGGUCGGAAAACCCUCAACCUUACAAAACACAGUAAUUAUGCAGACAGAAAAAAACAUGUAUCAGCAACACAGAAGAACCCCAAAGAAGGCCCUCCAUCUUGAUGCUUCAGACAACUUGCUCUAGCUUGACCAUGUCAGCAUCAAGCAAAACUGAUGACCCUCUUUUCUUCUUCUCUCACCUCCUCACACAUCAAUAAUAUUGUAUUAACUUUUUAUUUAGAAAUGGGAAGCAUAAAGAAGCUCGACUAAUAACUUGAAAUAAAUAAGCGACAGCUAAUGAGGCAUACAACAAAGGCAAAAACUUCAUGUUUUGUAUGCCUUCUUUUUACUGAUGGUGAUGGUUACUUAAGUGUAUCCCUGAAUGAAAAAGCAAAUAAACAUAUGCCUUAUCAAUCAAAAUGUUACCGCCUAAACUAAUUAUCUAAACAAAAUCACCUCUAUCGAAAGUUCCCAAUGAUUAAUUCCCCUGUUCAAGAAUUUGUCCGAUUAACCAAUUACCUUGCCGAUUAAUCCCUACUCAUAAGGUCACCGGAAGUAAACUGAUAAAUCAUCCAAUUAAUUGAUUAAAUGGCCGAUUAAUUUGUAUUAGCCUAUUAAUCCUCCACUCGCCACCCAACCGAGCAGCUACCAGUUAACGAUUUCCUCAAUAAUGAUUAAUUCUAACAUGGAGGAGCAAUGCUGAAUUAGGAUCCCUUGAUUACCUACAGAGAAGCCCUCGGCUACGUAUGUUGCAUGUUCCCCCUGAUUAUCAUGCAUGGUUUUGCUUCCCUAAACGAAUUAUGACUCCUCUGGCAAUACAGAACUUGCAAGCUAAUUAUUUCUACCAUUAUUUGCCUCCUAAUGAUCCAUGAACCAAUGAAAUAUAUAUAGCACCCCGGUGGCACUUGGAGAUUCAAAGAUACACAUUUGGCCACUCCAAAGAGUAAUAGGUUUGUGGUUCAAAAUAAUUGUUGAUCAAUAAAAGCAUAAACUUGGUCAAGAAAAGAAAAAUGAUAAAUUGUCUAUCUGAACCAUACAACCAUUGCAACUCAAAAGGAUGCAGCAUUGCCGGUGAAAAUAAAAUACACAAACUUGAUUGAUAAUCAGCUGUUGAGCCAUUGGCGCUCAAAUCGCUCGCCACCGCUAGCACGCUUGAUUUCGCAAC
rnacentral:lncRNA from 1 species